rnacentral:rRNA from 1 species
CGUAGGAGACGAGCGUUAUCCGGAUUUACUGGGCGUAAAGCGUGUGCAGGCGGUUCGGCAAGUUGGAUGUGAAAUCUCCCGGCUCAACUGGGAGGGGUCGUUCAAAACUACCGAACUUGAGGUCAUCAGAGGAAGGUGGAACUCCGGGUGUAGUGGUGAAAUGCGUAGAUAUCCGGAGGAACACCAGUGGCGAAGGCGGCCUUCUGGGAUGAUCCUGACGCUCAGACACGAAAGCUAGGGGAGCGAACGGGAUUAGAGACCCCGGUAGUCCUAGCUGUAAACGAUGUAGACUUGGCGUCGGAGGGUUCAAAACCUUCGGUGUCGUAGCUAACGCGAUAAGUCUACCGCCUGGGGGACUACGGCCGCAAGGUUA